GGUUAAGCGACUAAGCGUACACGGUGGAUGCCCUGGCAGUCAGAGGCGAUGAAGGACGUGCUAAUCUGCGAUAAGCGUCGGUAAGGUGAUAUGAACCGUUAUAACCGGCGAUUUCCGAAUGGGGAAACCCAGUGUGAUUCGUCACACUAUCAUUAACUGAAUCCAUAGGUUAAUGAGGCGAACCGGGGGAACUGAAACAUCUAAGUACCCCGAGGAAAAGAAAUCAACCGAGAUUCCCCCAGUAGCGGCGAGCGAACGGGGAGCAGCCCAGAGCCUGAAUCAGUGUGUGUGUUAGUGGAAGCGUCUGGAAAGGCGCGCGAUACAGGGUGACAGCCCCGUACACAAAAAUGCACAUGCUGUGAGCUCGAUGAGUAGGGCGGGACACGUGGUAUCCUGUCUGAAUAUGGGGGGACCAUCCUCCAAGGCUAAAUACUCCUGACUGACCGAUAGUGAACCAGUACCGUGAGGGAAAGGCGAAAAGAACCCCGGCGAGGGGAGUGAAAAAGAACCUGAAACCGUGUACGUACAAGCAGUGGGAGCACGCUUAGGCGUGUGACUGCGUACCUUUUGUAUAAUGGGUCAGCGACUUAUAUUCUGUAGCAAGGUUAACCGAAUAGGGGAGCCGAAGGGAAACCGAGUCUUAACUGGGCGUUAAGUUGCAGGGUAUAGACCCGAAACCCGGUGAUCUAGCCAUGGGCAGGUUGAAGGUUGGGUAACACUAACUGGAGGACCGAACCGACUAAUGUUGAAAAAUUAGCGGAUGACUUGUGGCUGGGGGUGAAAGGCCAAUCAAACCGGGAGAUAGCUGGUUCUCCCCGAAAGCUAUUUAGGUAGCGCCUCGUGAAUUCAUCUCCGGGGGUAGAGCACUGUUUCGGCAAGGGGGUCAUCCCGACUUACCAACCCGAUGCAAACUACGAAUACCGGAGAAUGUUAUCACGGGAGACACACGGCGGGUGCUAACGUCCGUCGUGAAGAGGGAAACAACCCAGACCGCCAGCUAAGGUCCCAAAGUCAUGGUUAAGUGGGAAACGAUGUGGGAAGGCCCAGACAGCCAGGAUGUUGGCUUAGAAGCAGCCAUCAUUUAAAGAAAGCGUAAUAGCUCACUGGUCGAGUCGGCCUGCGCGGAAGAUGUAACGGGGCUAAACCAUGCACCGAAGCUGCGGCAGCGACGCUUAUGCGUUGUUGGGUAGGGGAGCGUUCUGUAAGCCUGUGAAGGUGUACUGUGAGGUAUGCUGGAGGUAUCAGAAGUGCGAAUGCUGACAUAAGUAACGAUAAAGCGGGUGAAAAGCCCGCUCGCCGGAAGACCAAGGGUUCCUGUCCAACGUUAAUCGGGGCAGGGUGAGUCGACCCCUAAGGCGAGGCCGAAAGGCGUAGUCGAUGGGAAACAGGUUAAUAUUCCUGUACUUGGUGUUACUGCGAAGGGGGGACGGAGAAGGCUAUGUUGGCCGGGCGACGGUUGUCCCGGUUUAAGCGUGUAGGCUGGUUUUCCAGGCAAAUCCGGAAAAUCAAGGCUGAGGCGUGAUGACGAGGCACUACGGUGCUGAAGCAACAAAUGCCCUGCUUCCAGGAAAAGCCUCUAAGCAUCAGGUAACAUCAAAUCGUACCCCAAACCGACACAGGUGGUCAGGUAGAGAAUACCAAGGCGCUUGAGAGAACUCGGGUGAAGGAACUAGGCAAAAUGGUGCCGUAACUUCGGGAGAAGGCACGCUGAUAUGUAGGUGAAGCGACUUGCUCGUGGAGCUGAAAUCAGUCGAAGAUACCAGCUGGCUGCAACUGUUUAUUAAAAACACAGCACUGUGCAAACACGAAAGUGGACGUAUACGGUGUGACGCCUGCCCGGUGCCGGAAGGUUAAUUGAUGGGGUUAGCGCAAGCGAAGCUCUUGAUCGAAGCCCCGGUAAACGGCGGCCGUAACUAUAACGGUCCUAAGGUAGCGAAAUUCCUUGUCGGGUAAGUUCCGACCUGCACGAAUGGCGUAAUGAUGGCCAGGCUGUCUCCACCCGAGACUCAGUGAAAUUGAACUCGCUGUGAAGAUGCAGUGUACCCGCGGCAAGACGGAAAGACCCCGUGAACCUUUACUAUAGCUUGACACUGAACAUUGAGCCUUGAUGUGUAGGAUAGGUGGGAGGCUUUGAAGUGUGGACGCCAGUCUGCAUGGAGCCGACCUUGAAAUACCACCCUU
rnacentral:rRNA from 1 species